GCGCCGGUGAAACAUCGCUGCCCGGAAAGCAGAAGAUGCGGGUUCGAGUCCCGCCUGGCGCA
rnacentral:tRNA from 1 species